rnacentral:rRNA from 1 species
CCUACGGGAGGCAGCAGUAGGGAAUCUUCGUCAAUGGGCGCAAGCCUGAACGAGCGAUGCCGCGUGAGUGAAGAAGGCCUUCGGGUCGUAAAGCUCUGUUGCGGGGGAAAAAAGGCAGCAUCAGGAAAUGGGUGCUGACUGAUGGUGCCCCGCCAGAAAGUCACGGCUAACUACGUGCCAGCAGCCGCGGUAAUACGUAGGUGGCGAGCGUUAUCCGGAAGGAUUGGGCGUAAAGGGUGCGCAGGCGGUCCUGCAAGUCUGGAGUGAAACGCAUGAGCUCAACUCAUGCAUGGCUUUGGAAACUGGAGGACUGGAGAGCAGGAGAGGGCGGUGGAACUCCAUGUGUAGCGGUAAAAUGCGUAGAUAUAUGGAAGAACACCAGUGGCGAAGGCGGCCGCCUGGCCUGUUGCUGACGCUGAGGCACGAAAGCGUGGGGAGCAAAUAGGAUUAGAUACCCCAGUAGUC